rnacentral:rRNA from 1 species
AAGCAUGUCUAGUAUAAGCAAUUUAUACCGUGACUCUGCGUGUGGCUCAAUAUCUCUUAUCUCGUAUAUGAGAUAACAUCACAAUACGUGUAUAAGUGUGGUAACUCUAGAUCUAACAUGUGCUAAACCCCCCCACUUGGAAGGGUGUGUAUAUAUUAUAUUAAAACAAAGUGCUUUUGGGGGCUCUGUUGAGACUCGAUAUCUCUUCACAUAUCACAGGCUUGCGCGCCCGACAGGGCUCUCUCAUAUCUCCGCUAUCUCCUCUCUCUAUGGAAGUAUAUGGUACCACUGUGUUCUCAACGGAACACGGAAUUAUAGGUCUCUUCUCCAGAGAGAGACUGAGAAAAACCGCCCCCACCUCAAGAGAGGGCCGCGCGCGCGCAUUAUACCCUCUCCCCACACGGAGAGGUAGAGACUAUAUAUACAGACACGGGUCUCUUUUGGCUCGUGAAUUUGAUGAGAGUACAUUUUAACUCUCUUCGAGAGGCACUUGUGGAGGGCAUCUCUUGUGCCCACACCCGCGGUACACCCUCUCCUAUAGCAUAUAUUAGAUGUGGCGCUGAUAAAGCUCUCGUAUGUAGAAUCGUGCGUGUGGGGGCGUGUCCGUCUCAGCGCGUGCUGUGCUCGGGCGGCUCUCCCCUCUGGAGCCUCACACGCUCCUCACUGUGUGUGUCGGAGCACGACACUUACACUGUGAAAAUAUAGAGUGCUCAGAGCGCGUCUGUGCUCGUACAUAUAGCGUGUAUAAUAGAAUGAGACGUGUGCUCUAUUGUGUUGUCUCUGACAGCGCGUAAGAUUAUAGAGAUGUCGGGCACAUCAGUACUCUGUGUCAGAUGUGAUCUCUAUAUUAUAGACUCUCACUACUGAAACGCAUGUCGCAGAGAUGUCUCAUAAUCGGACACGAGUGUAGGAUCACGACACUACAUACCCGUCAUCUCUACUAACAUAUCCACUAGGAUCGGAAUUCUAUUCUGUCGCUCGUCGCUCUAGAAUCACUAUUCUGUGUCUCGGAUGUGCACGAUAGAUUAGAAGAGA